AUUGAACGCUGGCGGCAGGCUUAACACAUGCAAGUCGAGCGGAGAUGAGGUGCUUGCACCUUAUCUUAGCGGCGGACGGGUGAGUAAUGCUUAGGAAUCUGCCUAUUAGUGGGGGACAACAUUCCGAAAGGAAUGCUAAUACCGCAUACGUCCUACGGGAGAAAGCAGGGGACCUUCGGGCCUUGCGCUAAUGGAUGAGCCUAAGUCGGAUUAGCUAGUUGGUGGGGUAAAGGCCUACCAAGGCGACGAUCUGUAGCGGGUCUGAGAGGAUGAUCCGCCACACUGGGACUGAAACACGGCCCAGACUCCUACGGGAGGCAGCAGUGGGGAAUAUUGGACAAUGGGCGGAAGCCUGAUCCAGCCAUGCCGCGUGUGUGAAGAAGGCCUUUUGGUUGUAAAGCACUUUAAGCGAGGAGGAGGCUACUUAGAUUAAUACUCUAGGAUAGUGGACGUUACUCGCAGAAUAAGCACCGGCUAACUCUGUGCCAGCCGCCGCCGUAACAC
rnacentral:rRNA from 1 species